rnacentral:rRNA from 1 species
GAUGAACGCUGGCGGCGUGCCUAACACAUGCAAGUCGAGCGAAGCACUUACUUUAGAUUUCUUCGGAAUGACGAAGUUUGUGACUGAGCGGCGGACGGGUGAGUAACGCGUGGGCAACCUGCCCUGUACAGGGGGAUAACAGUUAGAAAUGACUGCUAAUACCGCAUAAGCCCACAGCUUCGCAUGAAGCAGUGGGAAAAACUCCGGUGGUACAGGAUGGGCCCGCGUCUGAUUAGCUAGUUGGUAAGGUAACGGCUUACCAAGGCGACGAUCAGUAGCCGACCUGAGAGGGUGACCGGCCACAUUGGGACUGAGACACGGCCCAAACUCCUACGGGAGGCAGCAGUGGGGAAUAUUGCACAAUGGGGGAAACCCUGAUGCAGCGACGCCGCGUGGGCGAUGAAGUAUUUCGGUAUGUAAAGCUCUAUCAGCAGGGAAGAAAGUGACGGUACCUGACGAAGAAGCCCCGGCUAACUACGUG